rnacentral:sRNA from 1 species
GACAGGGCACUGGGGCAGAGUAGGAGGACUCCAGAAGAUGCUGUCUCUCCUGAUCAUCUGUCUCCUGCCCACCAUCGAAGGGAAGAACUGCCUCCGCUGCUGGCCAGAACUGUCUGCCUUGAUAGACUAUGACCUACAGAUUCUCUGGGGGACCCCGGGGCCACCCACAGAACUUUCUCAAAGCAUUCACUCCCUGUUCCUAGAGGAUCGUGACCAUUUGGAAGAAGAAACAGCCAAAUUCUUCACUCAAGUACACCAAGCCAUUAAAACGUUACGAGAUGAUAAAACGGUACUUCUGGAAGAGAUCUACAUGCACAAGAAUCUAUUUACUGAGAGGCUGAAUAAGAUAUCUGAUGGGCUGAAGGAGAAGGCCAGGAACCGGCGGACCUCCCUGUGGGCUGUGAGUCUCAGCAGUGCUCUGCUCCUGGCCAUAGCUGGAGGUGGGUGAGUGACCUCUCCAAGCCCCAGCAUCCCCAGAGAAGACACACCUAUUCCCUGACUGACUCCACCCUGUUUCUUGGCCCAGAUGUUUCUUUUACUGGCACAGGAAGAAGGAGGCAGUAAAGGUACUGAGAAAGGAGACCCCGACCCAAUUCUAGGGCUCCCAGGAGGAAAAAGCGGGGUGUGCCCUGGGAGUAGCAGGGCCUGGAACACCAGUGCUGACCUCCUGGGGUCUGGCGUGCAGAAUAGAGUG